GCUGGAGCGCUGGGAUUCGGCCUUUCCUUUAUCCGUUCCACUUAGUUUCCCUCUUUUUCUGUUGAGCUCCCAGGCAUUGGACAAGGCCUUCCAAAUCAAAGGAACUUAAUUCAUUCAUCAAACGUUGAAACAUUGGACGCUGCCAAAUGGAAUAUGAAUCUUGAGUGCUCUGAUCGGAAGAUGGGAGGUGACUGGAGCUACUGCAUCCUGGAGCUACUGCAUCCUGAGGGAGGUGUCCUGAAGAGACUAUACAACCAGAGUCAAUGUCGGCUGCUUGCACCCACAAAAAUUUAACCUAUAAAGAAGUCGGCACUUAGAAAAUGGAAAACAACAUGCAAUCAUCCAUGGUGACUCCAAGAAAACUCCCUUGCUCCCUUCCACCAUGUGAGGCCACAGCAAAAAGGCACUGUCUAUGAACCAGGAAGUGGGCCCUUACUAAACACAGAUGUUUUGGCACCUUGAUCUUGGAUU